UUGAGUUGCUAGUAAUAACUUUCAAUUAUUCAGUUAAUCAUGUUUCCUCUAUAUAUGUGACUCAGCUUUUCAGGUGUAUUCCACAUUGUCUCUACUAGUGAACUAGGAUAAUCCAUUGUGUAUCUCACCCUCCUUCACUACCCUGUGAAAGUCACAUGUGAGAAGAAGCAUCACAGAUGAUUCCAUGGGGAACAUCCCGGAAGUUCUCCAAAUGAGUGGAUUGUUUUCUUGCUUCGUCUUUCCCAUGAUUAUCCAAUGCCUACUCUCAAAGAAGCCCUCCAAAUCUUUGAUAUCAAUAGUCAACAUUCCUGAGGUUGCAGGCCUCCUGUGUUAUUUUGAAUACAUUGCUUCCACUUUGUGCCUUUACGGAAAGAAAAAUUUAGAAACACGGUGGUUAAAGGUGGACAUUCGGAUGGCAAAAUCACUAUGCCUAUAUCCACAUGUGAUUUUGUGUGGGUCAUGAAGAAGAGAAAGAACUGCAUUCAUGCAAAUAAAGUGGACAACAUAGUUAACAAUUCUUACUACUUUAUUUUCUUCAAGGUAAAAACCUAGCCGAUUCUUUUCUUCAGAAGACUUCAUUU
rnacentral:lncRNA from 1 species